UAAUACGAAGGGUGCAAGCGUUACUCGGAAUUACUGGGCGUAAAGCGUGCGUAGGCGGUUUGUUAAGUCCGUUGUGAAAGCCCUGGGCUCAACCUGGGAAUUGCAGUGGAUACUGGCGAGCUAGAGUGCGGUAGAGGAUGGUGGAAUUCCCGGUGUAGCGGUGAAAUGCGUAGAGAUCGGGAGGAACACCCGUGGCGAAGGCGGCCAUCUGGACCAGCACUGACGCUGAGGCACGAAAGCGUGGGGAGCAAACAG
rnacentral:rRNA from 1 species